rnacentral:misc_RNA from 1 species
AAGUCCAGUCAGAGCCUUUUAUAUAGUAGCAAUCAAAAGAACUACUUGGCC